rnacentral:tRNA from 1 species
GCCUCCGUAGUCCAGUGGUUGGGCGUUGGGCUCUCGAUCCGGAGGCCCCGGGUUCGAAUACCGGUGGGGACA